UGGGGAAUUUUGGACAAUGGGCGAAAGCCUGAUCCAGCAAUGCCGCGUGUGUGAAGAAGGCCUUCGGGUUGUAAAGCACUUUUGUCCGGAAAGAAAUCCUUGGCUCUAAUACAGUCGGGGGAUGACGGUACCGGAAGAAUAAGCACCGGCUAACUACGUGCCAGCAGCCGCGGUAAUACGUAGGGUGCAAGCGUUAAUCGAAAUUACUGGGCGUAAAGCGUGCGCAGGCGGUUUGCUAAGACCGAUGUGAAAUCCCCGGGCUCAACCUGGGAACUGCAUUGGUGACUGGCAGGCUAGAGUAUGGCAGAGGGGGGUAGAAUUCCACGUGUAGCAGUGAAAUGCGUAGAGAUGUGGAGGAAUACCGAUGGCGAAGGCAGCCCCCUGGGCCAAUACUGACGCUCAUGCACGAAAGCGUGGGGAGCAAACAGGAUUAGAUACCCUGGUAGUCCACGCCCUAAACGAUGUCAACUAGUUGUUGGGGAUUCAUUUCCUUAGUAACGUAGCUAACGCGUGAAGUUGACCGCCUGGGGAGUACGGUCGCAAGAUUAAAACUCAAAUGAAUUGACGGGGUCAUAGCUGUUUCCU
rnacentral:rRNA from 1 species